rnacentral:misc_RNA from 1 species
CACGUAGGCACCAAGCAUUGUCCGGAUUUAUUGGGCGUAAAGAGCUCGUAGGCGGUUCAGCAAGUCGGGUGUGAAAACUCUGGGCUUAACCCAGAGCCUGCACCCGAAACUGCUGUGACUAGAGUUCGGUAGGGGAGCGGGGAAUUCCUGGUGUAGCGGUGAAAUGCGCAGAUAUCGGGAGGAACACCGGUGGCGAAGGCGCCGCUCUGGGCCGAAACUGACGCUGAGGAGCGAAAGCGUGGGUAGCAAACAGG